rnacentral:rRNA from 1 species
UGGGGAAUUUUGGACAAUGGGCGAAAGCCUGAUCCAGCAAUGCCGCGUGUGUGAAGAAGGCCUUCGGGUUGUAAAGCACUUUUGUCCGGAAAGAAAUCCUUGGCUCUAAUACAGUCGGGGGAUGACGGUACCGGAAGAAUAAGCACCGGCUAACUACGUGCCAGCAGCCGCGGUAAUACGUAGGGUGCAAGCGUUAAUCGGAAUUACUGGGCGUAAAGCGUGCGCAGGCGGUUUGCUAAGACCGAUGUGAAAUCCCCGGGCUCAACCUGGGAACUGCAUUGGUGACUGGCAGGCUAGAGUAUGGCAGAGGGGGGUAGAAUUCCACGUGUAGCAGUGAAAUGCGUAGAGAUGUGGAGGAAUACCGAUGGCGAAGGCAGCCCCCUGGGCCAAUACUGACGCUCAUGCACGAAAGCGUGGGGAGCAAACAGGAUUAGAUACCCUGGUAGUCCCACGCCCUAAACGAUGUCAACUAGUUGUUGGGGAUUCAUUUCCUUAGUAACGUAGCUAACGCGUGAAGUUGACCGCCUGGGGAGUACGGUCGCAAGAUUAAAAC